rnacentral:lncRNA from 1 species
ACCGAUUCGUCAAGUUUGGGGAUUACCUGCAUAGAUUAAGCAGAAGGGAUGAGUUUACAUAAACUCAGUGUGUAAUUCCCCGUGAAAACAAACAGACAGUAUACAAAAUAAACUCAGUCUAGGCCUAGCCCUUUUCAGUAUCAGUGAUAGUAUCAGUUUGGGCUUUAGCCCAUCUCAGUACAAAAGUAGUCAUGCAUUUGGGCCUUGGCCCAUUACAGUAUCAGUAACCAGUACAGUAACAGAUUAUGCAGUAAACAAGUCUUACA